UGCGUAGGUGGUCUACUAAGUUGGAUGUGAAACCCCCGGGCUUAACUUGGGAACUGCACUCCAAUACUGGCGGACUAGAGUGCAGGAGAAGGAAAGCGGAAUUCCUAGUGUAGCGGUGAAAUGCGUAGAUAUUAGGAGGAACACCAGUGGCGAAGGCGGCUUUCUGGACUGUAACUGACACUGAGGCACGAAAGCGUGGGUAGCAAACA
rnacentral:rRNA from 1 species